AGUGAACGCUGGCGGUAGGCCUAACACAUGCAAGUCGAACGGCAGCACAGUAAGAGCUUGCUCUUACGGGUGGCGAGUGGCGGACGGGUGAGGAAUACAUCGGAAUCUACUUUUUCGUGGGGGAUAACGUAGGGAAACUUACGCUAAUACCGCAUACGACCUACGGGUGAAAGCAGGGGAUCUUCGGACCUUGCGCGAUUGAAUGAGCCGAUGUCGGAUUAGCUAGUUGGCGGGGUAAAGGCCCACCAAGGCGACGAUCCGUAGCUGGUCUGAGAGGGUGAUCAGCCACACUGGAACUGAGACACGGUCCAGACUCCUACGGGAGGCAGCAGUGGGGAAUAUUGGACAAUGGGCGCAAGCCUGAUCCAGCCAUACCGCGUGGGUGAAGAAGGCCUUCGGGUUGUAAAGCUCUUUUGUUGGGAAAGAAAAGCAGCAGGUUAAUACCCCGCUGUUCUGACGGUACCCAAAGAAUAAGCACCGGCUAACUUCGUG
rnacentral:rRNA from 1 species